rnacentral:rRNA from 1 species
GCCUGGCCCAGACAUCCUAACAGCAUCAGAUCUCAUCUGAUCAUGGAAGCUAAGCAGAGUCAGCCCUGGUUAGUACUUGGAUGGCAGACCACUAAUGAAUAUCAUGUGCUGGAGGCU